AUUUGCAAAUGAAAAGAAUUCCAUGAUGGACAAAUGAAUGAAUUCCUUUGUUUGCUAUAAUGUAUAUUAAAUAUAGAAUUCCUUUCAAAUGAAGUUAAUUAUGUUUGGCAUAAAUGUAGAAUUCAAUUCAAUAUUCUUUUUUUUCUUCAAAACUAUCCUUUUACAUCUACCACCACUAUCACUCUAACACUACCACCACCACCCUAUCACAACCACUCUGCCGCUGCCGCCACUCCACCACUGCAGCCACCACUUUACUAGACUGUUACCACACCUAAGAUGAGAUGAACAAGAAUCCUAAUUUACUAGACUUCACUCAAUGAACUGAGAUUUGCUGUACGUUCCAUUAUAAAACAUAAGAAAAGAAUAACAUUGAAAAAUUGCAUGAUGUGUUUUAAUCAACAUAUAUAAGAAUGAAGGCCUUCUUGCCACUGACAAAAGAUCCAGCAGGAAUCACCUUA
rnacentral:misc_RNA from 1 species